rnacentral:rRNA from 1 species
UACAGAGGUCUCAAGCGUUGUUCGGAUUCAUUGGGCGUAAAGGGUGUGUAGGUGGCGCGCUAAGUCGGGUGUGAAAUUUCGGAGCUUAACUCGGAACGGUCAAGUGAUACUGUCGGACUAGAGUACAGAAGGGGCAACUGGAAUUCUCGGUGUAGCGGUGAAAUGCGUAGAUAUCGAGAGGAACACCUGCGGCGAAGGCGGGUUGCUGGGCUGAUACUGACGCUGAGGCGCGAAAGCCAGGGGAGCGAACGGG